rnacentral:rRNA from 1 species
UACAGAGGUCCCGAGCGUUGUUCGGAUUCACUGGGCGUAAAGGGUGCGCAGGUGGGUUUGCAAGUUUGAUGUGAAAGCCCCGGGCUUAACCCGGGAAUGGCAUUGAAUACUGCAGAUCUGGAGGAUUGGAGGGGGGACUGGAAUUCUUGGUGUAGCAGUGAAAUGCGUAGAUAUCAAGAGGAACACCAGUGGCGAAGGCGAGUCCCUGGACAAUACCUGACACUGAGGCACGAAAGCCAAGGGAGCAGACAGG